GAUAAACGCUGGCGGCGCACAUAAGACAUGCAAGUCGAACGGACUUAACCUAAAGUUUACUUUUGAGCGGUUAGUGGCGGACGGGUGAGUAACAUGUAAGCAAUCUGCCUAUCAGAGGGGAAUAACAGUGAGAAAUCAUUGCUAAUACCGCAUAUGCCAUAGUUAUCGCAUGAUAACAGUGGGAAAGGAGCAAUCCGCUGAUAGAUGAGCUUGCACCUGAUUAGCUAGUUGGUGGGGUAACGGCCUACCAAGGCGACGAUCAGUAGCCGGACUGAGAGGUUGAACGGCCACAUUGGGACUGAGAUACGGCCCAG
rnacentral:rRNA from 1 species